rnacentral:rRNA from 1 species
GACGAACGCUGGCGGCGUGCCUAAUACAUGCAAGUCGAACGAACCGCGACUGAGUGCUUGCACUUGGUCAAGGUGAGUGGCGAACGGGUGAGUAACACGUGGGUAACCUACCUCAUAGUGGGGGAUAACAGUCGGAAACGACUGCUAAUCCCGCAUAGGACAUAGGAUCACAUGAUCCAGUGAGGAAAGGUGGCGCAAGCUAUCGCUAAGAGAUGGACCCGCGGUGCAUUAGCUAGUUGGUAGGGUAAAGGCCUACCAAGGCGAUGAUGCAUAGCCGACCUGAGAGGGUGAUCGGCCACAUUGGGACUGAGACACGGCCCAAACUCCUACGGGAGGCAGCAGUAGGGAAUCUUCCGCAAUGGACGCAAGUCUGACGGAGCAACGCCGCGUGAGUGAAGAAGGUCUUCGGAUCGUAAAGCUCUGUUGUUAGAGAAGGACAGCGCAUAGAGUAACUGCUAUGCGUGUGACGGUAUCUAACCAGAAAGCCACGGCUAACUACGUG